rnacentral:snRNA from 1 species
AUAAAAAUUUCACUGAGUUACCAUGAUCACGAAAGUGGUUUUCCUAGGCUAGGCUUAUUCAUCACACUCUGUGUGUGCUGACCCCUGUGAUUUCCCCAAAGGUGGGAAACUCAACUGCAUAAUUUGUGGAAGUGGGGGACUGGAGUCACACUUCCUCCUG